rnacentral:rRNA from 1 species
CAAUAAGCGGAGGAAAAGAAACCAACAGGGAUUGCCCUAGUAACGGCGAGUGAAGCGGCAACAGCUCAAAUUUGAAAUCUGGCGCAAGCCCGAGUUGUAAUUUGUAGAGGAUGCUUCUGGCCAGCGGCCGUUCUAAGUUCCUUGGAACAGGACGUCAUAGAGGGUGAGAAUCCCGUAUGUGACCGGCGCGCAGCCUUUGCGUAGCUCCUUCGACGAGUCGAGUUGUUUGGGAAUGCAGCUCUAAAUGGGAGGUAAAUUUCUUCUAAAGCUAAAUACCGGCCAGAGACCGAUAGCGCACAAGUAGAGUGAUCGAAAGAUGAAAAGCACUUUGGAAAGAGAGUUAAAAAGCACGUGAAAUUGUUGAAAGGGAAGCGCUUGCAACCAGACUUCGUAGCGAUGUUCCGCCGGUCUUCUGACCGGUCUACUCAUCGUCGCGAGGCCAACAUCGUCUGGGACCGCUGGAUAAGACCUAAGGAAUGUAGCUUCCCUCGGGAAGUGUUAUAGCCUGUGGUGAUGCAGCGCGUCUCGGGCGAGGUCCGCGCUUCGGCAAGGAUGUUGGCGUAAUGGUUGUCAGCGGCCCGUCUUGAAACACGGACCAAGGAGUCUAACAUCUAUGCGAGUGUUCGGGUGUCAAACCCCUACGCGUAAUGAAAGUGAACGGAGGUGGGAAGCGCAAGCUGCACCAUCGACCGAUCCUGAUGUCCUCGGAUGGAUUUGAGUAAGAGCAUAGCUGUUGGGACCCGAAAGAUGGUGAACUAUGCCUGAAUAGGGUGAAGCCAGAGGAAACUCUGGUGGAGGCUCGCAGCGGUUCUGACGUGCAAAUCGAUCGUCAAAUUUGGGUAUAGGGGCGAAAGACUAAUCGAACCAUCUAGUAGCUGGUUCCUGCCGAAGUUUCCCUCAG